CUGGGGUGAUGCAAAUUAGCCAAAUCAUAUUUGAUGUGCUCCAUGAGGCAUUUAAUUUCUUCUAAGCUUUUAUUACUUCCUAUUAGAGAGGCACAUUGAAGGUCUCUGAUAUGGAUUUGAUGAGGCUAUAGAAAUUUGCCUCUUGUAGAAGCAUAUCUCUCUGAUGAUAACAUAGAGAUUGGUUGCGUGCUGACCAGA